rnacentral:rRNA from 1 species
CCUACGGGUGGCUGCAGUGAGGAAUAUUGGUCAAUGGGCGGAAGCCUGAACCAGCCAAGUAGCGUGCAGGAUGACGGCCCUACGGGUUGUAAACUGCUUUUAUACGGGAAUAACGCGCCUUACGUGUAGGGCUUUGCAUGUACCGUAUGAAUAAGGACCGGCUAAUUCCGUGCCAGGAGCCGCGGUAAUACGGAAGGUCCGGGCGUUAGCCGGAUUUAGUGGGUGUAAAGGGAGCGCAGGCCGCAUGUCAAGCGUGCUGUGAAAUGGCCGGGCUCAACCCGGGCCUUGCAGCGCGAACGGGCGUGCUUGAGUCCGCGGAAAGCAGGCGGAAUUCGUGGUGUAGCGGUGAAAUGCUUAGAUAUGACGAAGAACCCCGAUUGCGAAGGCAGCUUGCUGCAGCGGAACUGACGCUGAUGCUCGAAAGCGCGGGUAUCGAACAGGAUUAGAUACCCUUGUAGUC